AACCCCAGAUCUUCCACAACUGUCAUUCAAGAAGGCAAAGACUACUUGCUGUGUACUGGAAUGUGUCCUUUAUAUUUGAUAUUAACUAAUGGGGACGAAAUUACUCUUGGCUCUUGAUAUCACAGAGUGUUCCCUUUGGGGGCUGGAUUCCUUCCCAGCAAGUGGUAGCAGCCACCAGCAAAGGUGAACUCCUUGAGCAUACAGAGCACAGAAGGUUUUUGUGAGUACAGAAAAAGACCCCAGAGAUGUGCUGGAGGGAAUGUUUCCAGGCUUAAAACCGUGUCAGGCCCAGCAUAGGCUGCAGGCUGCUACCUCCAACUGCUUUUGGCUCCUUGGUUCCAGGCUGUUGAAAUGUCAGAUGGCAAAAACAAGAAAGAGCUCCAGAUGGAGCAACUGGAAGACAAACACGAUAAAGAUGGUAAUGGGAAAGCUUCAGAGUCACACUUGACUGGGAUUCCCAUGCUUGGGUUUGGGAGUCCCCACCUGUGGCUUCCAAACCCACUCUCUGUGCAAGCCCUUGUGCCAAGCAGCAUCCCAUGAGGAAGUUCUUCAUUAUUAUGUAUUGAAGACUGAAAUAAAUAAAAGCAAUCUGUGGUGCCUACAGGCAUGUACCUGCUGGUCUGCAAGUGGGACCUCACAAUGAGAUGCUUCCCAAUGCAGGAAAACUCACUGACCACUGACCACUCACUCACUGACUCUGUUGGACACCUCUCUGGAUUCCUCUGGAACAGUGAAGAGGGUUGUGGAAAUGGAGCAGAACAGGACCAACUCUGGCAUUUUGGCUGCUGCAGCUGAGAACAUUGAUCUGAAACUGUAUCCUGAAAUGCUGAGACCAUUGGUGAGCUGUAGGAGGCCUUCAGGAAUUACCAGCUUUACUCCAGAAGGAAAAGUUGGUGGAACGCCAUUGAGUUUUAUUCCCACCUAAUGCUAAGAUCCAGCACCUUUAAUUGUCAUCAAAAAACACUUAUAAGGAGCAACAAAAGGAGCUGCUGGAGGAUGUCUCUUCUUCAGCACUGGAAGAACUGAUGCAUGUUCUCAUGUCAUGAAUAGCCAGUUCUCAUCAGCAUGGACACUUCUUAUGCAGAUUCUCGAUUGCUAAGAGCCAGAGUAAACCAGACUUGCCUCUCAGGAUCUGCAUACCACAACAGUCCAGAGAUCACCGUUGUGGAGAUUUCUUUUGAUGAGAAGACUCAAGGUCACAGUUAAGGUUUUGUGCCUGGAGCUGCACUUCCCACCAUUGCAAGUCCUGCCUAGCUUGCACAGAACAGCUUCAGAAAUGGCCGAGGCUACAAGGUGCUCACACACUGUGGUGACCAGCUGGACAGGGUUGAAAAGGACAGUGACAACUUAUGCAAAGCCACAGGCAGUGGGCAGGCAGUGCUGGGGGCAACCUACUCUCCCUUCUGGAGCUCCAACAGGAUCACUGGCACCAGGUUUUUAAGCAGCUGCAACAGGAGCCCAGGGUGCCCAGGUUGGAUGGAGAUCCUGCAUUG